rnacentral:rRNA from 2 species
GCGUGAACGAUGAAGUAUUUCGGUACGUAAAGUUCUUUUAUUAGGGAAGAAUAAAUGAUGGAAAAAUCAUUCUGACGGUACCUAAUGAAUAAGCCCCGGCUAACUAUGUGCCAGCAGCCGCGGUAAUACAUAGGGGGCAAGCGUUAUCCGGAAUUAUUGGGCGUAAAGGGUGCGUAGGCGGUUAAAUAAGUUUAUGGUCUAAGUGCAAUGCUCAACAUUGUGAUGCUAUAAAAACUGUUUAGCUAGAGUAAGAUAGAGGCAAGUGGAAUUCCAUGUGUAGUGGUAAAAUGCGUAAAUAUAUGGAGGAACACCAGUAGCGAAGGCGGCUUGCUGGGUCUUUACUGACGCUGAGGCACGAAAGCGUGGGGAGCAAACAGGAUUAGAUACCCUGGUAGUCCACGCCGUAAACGAUGAGUACUAAACGUUGGGUAAAACCAGUGUUGAAGUUAACACAUUAAGUACUCCGCCUGAGUAGUACGUACGCAAGUAUGAAACUUAAAGGAAUUGACGGGACUCCGCACAAGCGGUGGAUCAUGUUGUUUAAUUCGAAGGUACCCGAAAAACCUCACCAGGUCUUGACAUGCUUCUGCAAAGCUGUAGAAACACAGUGGAGGUUAUCAGUUGCACAGGUGGUGCAUGGUUGUCGUCAGCUCGUGUCGUGAGAUGUUGGGUUAAGUCCCGCAACGAGCGCAACCCUUAUUGUUAGUUACCAGCACGUAAUGGUGGGGACUUUAGCAAGACUGCCAGUGAUGAAUUGGAGGAAGGUGGGGACGACGUCAAAUCAUCAUGCCCCUUAUGACCUGGGCUACAAACGUGAUACAAUGGCUGUUACA